rnacentral:rRNA from 1 species
UACGGAGGGGGCUAGCGUUGUUCGGAAUUACUGGGCGUAAAGCGCACGUAGGCAGCUUUGUAAGUUAGAGGUGAAAGCCCGGGGCUCAACUCCGGAAUUGCCUUUAAGACUGCAUCGCUAGAAUUGUGGAGAGGUAAGUGGAAUUCCGAGUGUAGAGGUGAAAUUCGUAGAUAUUCGGAAGAACACCAGUGGCGAAGGCGACUUACUGGACACAUAUUGAUGCUGAGGUGCGAAAGCGUGGGGAGCAAACAGG